rnacentral:tRNA from 1 species
GGCAGGAUGGCCGAGUUGGUUAUGGCGCCAGGUUAAGGUUUACCUUAAUAUUAAGCUCCUGGUUCGGGAAACUGAGCGUGGGUUCAAGUCCCACUCCUGUCA